rnacentral:rRNA from 1 species
GAUGAACGCUGGCGGCGUGCCUAAUACAUGCAAGUCGAGCGAACAGAUAAGGAGCUUGCUCCUUUGACGUUAGCGGCGGACGGGUGAGUAACACGUGGGUAACCUACCUAUAAGACUGGAAUAACUCCGGGAAACCGGGGCUAAUGCCGGAUAACAUUUAGAACCGCAUGGUUCUAAAGUGAAAGAUGGUUUUGCUAUCACUUAUAGAGGGACCCGCGCCGUAUUAGCUAGUUGGUAAGGUAACGGCUUACCAAGGCAACGAUACGUAGCCGACCUGAGAGGGUGAUCGGCCACACUGGAACUGAGACACGGUCCAGACUCCUACGGGAGGCAGCAGUAGGGAAUCUUCCGCAAUGGGCGAAAGCCUGACGGAGCAACGCCGCGUGAGUGAUGAAGGUCUUCGGAUCGUAAAACUCUGUUAUUAGGGAAGAACAAAUGUGUAAGUAACUGUGCACGUCUUGACGGUACCUAAUCAGAAAGCCACGGCUAACUACGUG